UAGGAAGUGGUGUAGUGGAAGCACUAGGAGUUUUGAUCUCCUCAGUUUGGGUUCGAGUCCCAUCUUUCUAA
rnacentral:tRNA from 1 species